rnacentral:tRNA from 1 species
GCGGGAGUGGCCGAAAUUGGUAGACGCACCAGAUUUAGGUUCUGGCGCCGCAAGGUGUGCGAGUUCAAGUCUCGCCUCCCGCACCA